ensembl:misc_RNA Metazoa_SRP Metazoan signal recognition particle RNA
UCCAGGCAUGGUGGCGCAUGCCUGUGGUCCCAGCUACUUGGGAGGCUGAGGUGGGAGGAUUACUUGAGUCCAGGAGUUUCAGGCUGCAGUGAGCUAUGAUCACACCACUGUACUCCAGCCUGAGCAACAGAAUGAGACCCCAUCUCUU